rnacentral:sRNA from 1 species
UUUUCUUUGAAGAUCCGAAAGCGUUUUCUACUUUUGUUUUUGAUUU